AGUGAACGCUGGCGGUAGGCCUAACACAUGCAAGUCGAACGGCAGCACAGUAAGAGCUUGCUCUUACGGGUGGCGAGUGGCGGACGGGUGAGGAAUACAUCGGAAUCUACUUUUUCGUGGGGGAUAACGUAGGUAAACUUACGCUAAUACCGCAUACGACCUACGGGUGAAAGCAGGGGAUCUUCGGACCUUGCGCGAUUGAAUGAGCCGAUGUCGGAUUAGCUAGUUGGCGGGGUAAAGGCCCACCAAGGCGAAGAUCCGUAGCUGGUCUGAGAGGAUGAUCAGCCACAAUGGAACUGAGACACGGUCCAGACUCCUAAGGGAGGCAGCAGUCGGGAAUAUUGGACAAUGGGAGAAAGCCUGAUACAGGCAUACCGCGUGGGUGAAGAAGGCCUUGGGGUUGUAAAGCCCUUUUGUUGGGAAAGAAAAGCAGCAGGUUAAUAACCCGCUGUUCUGACGGUACCCAAAGAAUAAGCACCGGCUAACUUCGUG
rnacentral:rRNA from 1 species